AGCACUCCUGGACUUGCCAGUGGGAGCACAGAGCUCUGGUUCACACUAAGCAGAGUCUUGAAGAGGGUUCUCCCAAGCAGCUGAAAAGUGAUGAUGAAGAGGCAGAAUCAAUCGCAUGGAUCUUUCUGAAGAUAAUGGGGAGUUGCACCUAGAGGAUCACCCGUGUGCCCAGCAGCCAGAGCUGUUUGCUGAAGAUCCCUGUUAGGGGAGUGAAGCUGACUUUCCCGAGAUCCAGUCAAGAACUUGGAUACUCCUAAAAACAGCAAGUAUGUUUUCUUGAACUUUUAAAGCUAUAGCAGGAAGUAGCAGGUCUUGGGUUCAACCCCCAGCACUGCCAUAAACCACAGGUGAGUAUCUCUGGUCUCUGUUGCUCAUCAAAGAAAAAAGAU